rnacentral:tRNA from 1 species
UCCUUGGUGUCUCAGUCAGUAAAGAAUCCGCCUGCAAUGCAGGAGACCCAGGUUCAAUCCCUGGGGAAGGAA